rnacentral:rRNA from 1 species
GGCUCAGGACGAACGCUGGCGGCGUGCCUAAUACAUGCAAGUCGAGCGAAUGGAAGGGAGCUUGCUCCCGGAAGUUAGCGGCGGACGGGUGAGUAACACGUGGGCAACCUGCCUGUAAGACUGGGAUAACUUCGGGAAACCGGAGCUAAUACCGGAUAAUUUCUUUCUUCUCAUGGAGGAAGGUUGAAAGAUGGCUUCGGCUAUCACUUACAGAUGGGCCCGCGGCGCAUUAGCUAGUUGGUGAGAUAACGGCUCACCAAGGCAACGAUGCGUAGCCGACCUGAGAGGGUGAUCGGCCACACUGGGACUGAGACACGGCCCAGACUCCUACGGGAGGCAGCAGUAGGGAAUCUUCCGCAAUGGACGAAAGUCUGACGGAGCAACGCCGCGUGAGUGAUGAAGGUUUUCGGAUCGUAAAACUCUGUUGUCAGGGAAGAACAAGUAUCGGAGUAACUGCCGGUACCUUGACGGUACCUGACCAGAAAGCCACGGCUAACUACGUGCCAGCAGCCGCGGUAAUACGUAGGUGGCAAGCGUUGUCCGGAAUUAUUGGGCGUAAAGCGCGCGCAGGCGGUCCUUUAAGUCUGAUGUGAAAGCCCACGGCUCAACCGUGGAAGGUCAUUGGAAACUGGGGGACUUGAGUGCAGAAGAGAAGAGCGGAAUUCCACGUGUAGCGGUGAAAUGCGUAGAGAUGUGGAGGAACACCAGUGGCGAAGGCGGCUCUUUGGUCUGUAACUGACGCUGAGGCGCGAAAGCGUGGGGAGCAAACAGGAUUAGAUACCCUGGUAGUCCACGCCGUAAACGAUGAGUGCUAAGUGUUAGAGGGUUUCCGCCCUUUAGUGCUGCAGUAACGCAUAAGCACUCCGCCUG